rnacentral:tRNA from 1 species
AAUCAUUAAGCUUUAAUAAGCAUAUAUUUUGAAAAUAUAAGAUAAAAUUUUAAUAUUUUAAUGAUUU